AGUAUUUCUGCGCUAAAAUUGGGAAAACUGGUGAAAGUAGGAAAAUGAACAAAUGAGAAACCUGCCUAUACACCAGAAAGAGUGGAAAGCUUCAACAAGUGAGUUAUAUAAGUUGUAUAAAGGGUUAAAGUCAAAUAAAGAGGAAUUGCAGGAAAUAAAUAGAAAGAGCAAGUUUAACACCUCAAAUCUGAUCAAAGAAUAGUAAUUUCUGCUUCUGAGGAUUGAGCCUGCUUCAAAGGCACUUCUUUAGACUCAGAAUGACUUGCCUUUUUAUUUAUUUAUUUAUUUAUUUAUUUAUUAUUUUUAAAAUUUUUUCCACCAUACAGCAUGGGCACCAAGUUACACAUGCAUGUAUACAUAGUUUUUCCUCCCAUUGUUGUGUUGCAAUGUAACAAUCUAGACAUAGUUCUCAGUGCUACACAGCAGGAUCUCAUUGUAAAUUCAUUCCAAGAGCAAUAGUUUGCAAGCUCCUGAUGCCUCCCACUCCCUCUCUCUCCCCCGGGCAGCCACAUGUCUAUUCUCCAAAUCCAUGAUUUUCUUUUCAUUUGUGCUGUAUAUUAGAUUCCAACUAUAAAUGAUAUCAUAUGGUAUUUGUCUUUCUCUUUCUGACUUAUUUCAUUUGGCAUGAGAGUCUCUACUUCCAUCCAUGUUGCUGCAAAUGGCAUUAUGUCAUUCUUUUUUAUGUGACUUGCCUUUUUAUAACUGCCAUCUGAAUGACUUUUUUCAGAGCCCUCUUUAUGUCUUUGUUCCUGAGAUUAUAGAUAAAGGGAUUCAGCAUGGGUGUUACCACUGUGUACAUCACUGUGGCUAUUGUACUUAAGUGGGAGCUGUGGGUAGGAGCAGAGCUGAGAUAGACUCCUACACCUGAACAGUAAUAUAGGAAGACAACCAAGAGGUGAGAUGCACAGGUGGAAAGUGCUUUAUGCUUCCCUCCAGCUGAUGUCAUUCCAUGUAUAGAUGAAAUGAUCUUAGAGUAAGAGUAAAGGAUACCAGCCAGAGGACCACCACCAAUCAGUAGGGCUGUAAAAUACAUAAUUGUAUCAUUAAGAAAAGUGUCACAAGCAAGAUUAACAAUCUGUUUGAUUUCACAGAAAAAGUGAGGGAUUUCCAAGUCUGUACAGAAAGACAGUCGAAGCACCAGUAAGCUUUCUAACAAGGAAUGGAGGGCACUGAUGAUCCAGGACACCAGAACCAGCAGUCCACAGAGCCAGGGGUUCAUGAUGACUGUGUAGUGUAGGGGGUGGCAGAUGGCUAAGAAGCUAUCAUAAACCAUUACACUCAGAAUAAAAUCAUCCAACACUGCAAAGAGUAUGUAAAAAUACAUCUGGCUGAUGCAGCCUUCAUAGGAUAUAACUUUGCUCCGGGUGUGUAUAUUUAUUAACAUCUUUAGGAUUGUUGUGGUGGUGAAACAGAUAUCUACAAAGGAGAGAUUUGAGAGAAAAAAGUACAUGGGUGUGUGGAGGUGAGAGUCUGAACUGGCAGCCAGGAUGAUGAGCAGGUUUCCAAAUACAGUGAUGAGGUACAUGGAGAGGAAAAGUCCAAAUAUGAGGGGCUGCAACUCUGGUUCCUUUGAUAAUCCCUGAAGAAAAAAUUCUGAAUUUUGUGUAUAGUUGCCUGGAACCAUAUGGUGGUGGUGAUUACUAGGCAUGGAAAAGAUAACACGAUUAAUUUUUACACAAAUGGAAUGGGUAUUACUAACAGUUGAAAUGUUGCUAUUUGUAUUUUACAUCCAAGAAAUAAAUCUGUACAUUUUGUACAAAUUAUUGCUUCUAAGAGGCUUUUCAUGACAUCUAUGACUAGUAAUUCUCUUAGAGAGAGACAGAAAAGAUAGAGAUACAAGUGGGAAAAAGAUACGAAAUGCUCAGGUAGAUACGCUAGAUGGCUUAUAAUGAGGAGAAAACUCUUGGAUUCCCCCCAAGGCAUCAUAUAUUUAUUAGUUUUAGUGAGAAAUGCUUUCAUGCAUUAGAGGAAUACAUGUUGACUAUUGACCAUCUUCUAGGUAAAAGUAUAGGGUGCUGGGAAAAAAACAAAGUGUAUAAUGAUAGCACAAGAAUAUAAGAAAAUAAAUAUCAUAUAUCAUGUCACAUUCUGAACUAUGCUCUGAAGAAAGAAAAACUAUAUAUUAAAAACCAUGGUUGGAGAUGUUAUUUUUUUUUUACUGGGAGUUCAGAAGACCUGUAAAUGAUGAAAUAAAAGCUGGAUAGAUGAAGAUAUUGGAAGUGGGGGGAAGAUACUGGAAGUGUGGGAGGAAGAUAUUUCCGGUCAGGGAAAGAGCCAGAGAAAAGACCUUUAGGAAGGCUCUUUUUUCAAAUAUUCAAAACUGAAAGUUUUGCCAGUGCGGUGGUGAGGGAAUGAGCAAGAGGGUGUAAUGAGAAAUGGUAGAGAAUGUUGAGGAAUGGAGUGGCCUCCCUGCUACAGCUGAAACUUCAAGACACAGGGAGUACAUAGCUUAUGCAUUGUUCCUUGUACUUUAUUACUUUUUGAAUCUUGUGAGUAUAAACCUUCAUCUCUUGGUUAACCUUCCAGUAUCUGUAUUUUAAGGGUCACAUUUUGAUGUAUAUGGUCUGGGUACCGCUGCCCUGAGAACUGCUCAUUCCCCACAAAAUACACUUAUACAUACAAAACUGACAUAUCUACAAACACAAUCACAUACACAGUACACUAUGAUUCCCAGGGCGGUGAUAAUGACAGGUUUUUCUCACCUAAGUCACAAUAAUUAGUAAAACAAUGCUACGAGGGAAGCUUUCAACAUUAGAUUAUCUUAAAGGAUGUAGAAUUAGGAGUGAUGUCAGCAUCAUGAAAGGGUGAGAUGUUCCUUUGCCUUUAAUCUUCAACCUACAACCAGCAAAAUAUCCACAGUUCAACAAAGGCGCUUCUUCCCAACACAACAGGACACAAGAGAAUUUCACACAUCUGUACAUCUAAAGGUGGGCAGACUGUAAGGUACAGAGGAGGUGGAACUGUGAGAAGAGUAAAUGUGGUAUCUGUGAUCCUAGGCCCCUGGUUGGUGCAGCUAAGCCUGUAGCCCCAGAGUACCAGGUAGCAUCAGGGAAAUAGGUACACAAAAUACCAGUAUUCUUGUCUCCGCAGAGCCUAUGGCUAUAAGGAACUGGGAAGCAGUCGGAGUAUGGCCUGUGUGUCCUUCUAGUCACAGAAGUGCUCAGGACUCUGCCUCCACCACUUUGUGCCCAUAGUGGCUGUGCCUGUGAACCUGACAAACACAGUACAAAAAUAGCUGUGACCCUGCCUGCCCCUCUGCUUUUACCUGCCCCUGCAGUGGCAGAACCUGAGACCCAGGAAACCAUAGACAUAACAAAAAUGUCCACCUUCAAGAUGCAUCUGGUGGCUAUGUCAGCAACACCAGCAACAGCAAGGUACUAAUGACCCUGAAGACACAAGCAGAAACACAGGCACUGAGCAAUACCUAUGACAGAGGCAGUGGUGGGUGGAGAGGGACAAUUCUCAAAUACAACCAGAAGCAGCUCAGGUAAGAGAAAUCAAAACUUUGAGCCAGAGUGCCACCUACUGAAACCAAAACUGUGUCUAAUUAAUAAUCUGUUGAAUCAUUUGAAUC
rnacentral:lncRNA from 1 species